rnacentral:rRNA from 1 species
CCUACGGGGGGCUGCAGUGAGGAAUAUUGGGCAAUGGGCGAAAGCCUGACCCAGCAACGCCGCGUGGAGGAAGACGGCCUUCGGGUUGUAAACUCCUUUUGACGGGGAAGAGAGAGGACGGUACCCGUCGAAUAAGUCACGGCUAACUACGUGCCAGCAGCCGCGGUAAUACGUAGGUGACAAGCGUUAUCCGGAAUUACUGGGCGUAAAGCGCACGCAGGCGGCAGAUUAAGUCUGACGUGAAAUCUCCUGGCUUAACUGGGAGGGGUCGUUGGAAACUGGUCAGCUUGAGGUGGUGAGAGGGGUGUAGAAUUCCCGGUGUAGUGGUGGAAUGCGUAGAUAUCGGGAGGAAUACCAGUGGCGAAAGCGACACCCUGGCACUAGCCUGACGCUCAUGUGCGAAAGCGUGGGGAGCAAACGGGAUUAGAUACCCUGGUAGUC